UUGCAUAUCAAAUAAAGCGGAGGAAAAGAAACCAACAGGGAUUGCCUUAGUAGCGGCGAGUGAAGCGGCAAAAGCUCAAAUUUGAAAUCUGGUACUUUCAGUGCCCGAGUUGUAAUUUGAAGAAGGUAUCUUUGGGUCUGGCGCUUGUCUAUGUUUCUUGGAACAGAACGUCACAGAGGGUGAGAAUCCCGUGCGAUGAGAUGAUCCAGACCUAUGUAAAGUCU
rnacentral:rRNA from 1 species